rnacentral:rRNA from 1 species
AGAGAUGUGUGAUGACGCAUAUCAAUAAGCGGAGGAAAAGAAACUAACAAGGAUUCCCUUAGUAACGGCGAGUGAAGCGGGAAGAGCUCAAAUUUGAAAUCUUCAAGGUUUUACCUUGACGAAUUGUAGUUUAAAGAAGUGUUUUCUGUUGGAGUUUUGGUAAAAGUUCUUUGGAAUAGGACAUCAUAGAGGGUGAGAAUCCCGUAUUUGACCAUUAUUUCCAGCUGUGUGGUACACUUUCAAAGAGUCGGAUUGUUUGGGAAUGCAGUCCAAAAUGGGUGGUAAAUUUCAUCUAAAGCUAAAUAUUGGCGAGAGACCGAUAGCGAACAAGUACCGUGAGGGAAAGAUGAAAAGAACUUUGAAAAGAGAGUUAAAUAGUACGUGAAAUUGUCAAAAGGGAAGCGUUUGACACCAGUGUUGUUUUCUCGAAAAUCAAUUAAAAAUGAUGGGAUUUUGUGUUGUAUUGACUUUAUCAGCUUUCUGCACUUUUUUCUUAUCUUUUUUAAUGCACUUUUCGUUUAACAAGUCAACAUCAAUUUCUUUUGUUGUAAAAGAGUCAUUGGAAGGUGGCUUUUUCUUCGGAAAAAGUGUUUAUAGCCUUUGGCUUCUGCAAUCGGAGAGAUUGAGGUCUGCAGCGUAGAUCCUUCGGGGUUAGAUACAUUUGUGCUAAGCUAUAGUUCUUUAUAGACAACUUGUUGACUAUAAUCAAUCCUGUAACUUACUCGCUUAUGCUAUUUUACCUACGCUUAGGAUGUUGAUCUGUAGUGCGUGCGC